CCUACGGGAGGCAGCAGUGAGGAAUAUUCGUCAAUGGACGAGAGUCUGAACCAGCCAAGUCGCGUGAAGGAUGACUGCCCUCUGGGCUGUAAACUUCUUUUAUAUGGGAAUAAAAUGUUCCACGUGUGGGAUUUUGUAUGUACCAUAUCAAUAAGGAUCGGCUAACUCCGUGCCAGCAGCCGCGGUAAUACGGAGGAUCCGAGCGUUAUCCGGAUUUAUUGGGUUUAAAGGGAGCGUAGGUGGAUUGUUAAGUCAGUUGUGAAAGUUUGCGGCGCAACCGUAAAAUUGCAGUUGAAACUGGCAGUCUUGAGAGCAGGAGAGGUGGGCGGAAUUCGUGGUGUAGCGGUGAAAUGCGUAGAUAUAACGAAGAACUCCAGUUGCGAAGGCGGCUCACUGGACUGCAACUGACACUGAGGCUCGAAAGUGUGGGGAGCAAACAGGAUUAGAUACCCUAGUAGUC
rnacentral:rRNA from 1 species